rnacentral:rRNA from 1 species
CCUACGGGUGGCAGCAGUGGGGAAUAUUGGGCAAUGGACGCAAGUCUGACCCAGCAACGCCGCGUGAAGGAAGAAGGCUUUCGGGUUGUAAACUUCUUUUAAGGGGGAAGAGCAGAAGACGGUACCCCUUGAAUAAGCCACGGCUAACUACGUGCCAGCAGCCGCGGUAAUACGUAGGUGGCAAGCGUUGUCCGGAUUUACUGGGUGUAAAGGGCGUGCAGCCGGAGAGACAAGUCAGAUGGGAAAUCACGGGGCUCAACCCGUGAACUGCAUUUGAAACUGUUUCCCUUGAGUGUCGGAGGGGUAACCGGAAUCCCUGGUGUAGCGGUGAAAUGGGUAGAUAAAAGGAAGAAAACCAGGGGCGAGGGCGGAUUACUGGACGAUAACGGACGGUGAGGCGCGAAAGCGUGGGAGCAAACAGGAUUAGAUACCCGAGUAGUC